UCCCCAGACUCCUACGGGAGGCAGCAGUGGGGGAUAUUGCACAAUGGGGGAAACCCUGAUGCAGCGACGCCGCGUGAGUGAAGAAGUAUUUCGGUAUGUAAAGCUCUAUCAGCAGGGAAGAAGAUGACAGUACCUGAGUAAGAAGCCCCGGCUAACUACGUGCCAGCAGCCGCGGUAAUACGUAGGGGGCAAGCGUUAUCCGGAAUUACUGGGCGUAAAGGGUGCGUAGGUGGUUUCUUAAGUCAGAGGUGAAAGGCUACGGCUCAACCGUAGUAAGCCUUUGAAACUGGGGGACUUGAGUGCAGGAGAGGAGAGUGGAAUUCCUAGUGUAGCGGUGAAAUGCGUAGAUAUUAGGAGGAACACCAGUGGCGAAGGCGGUCUGCUGGACAGCAACUGACGGUGAGGCGCGAAAGCGUGGGGAGCAAACAGGAUUAGAUACCCCAGUA
rnacentral:rRNA from 1 species